UCUAACCACAUGUUGUCAAGAGUGCCCUUUCUCCCACAUGUUACAGACCACUUGCCCCCAUUUGCACAUUCAGGAUCUUCCCACUUGGGUUCUAUCCCGGUUUUGAAACAAUGGAAAUCAGCAUUUGCUGGCAACUUGCUGGGACGAAAUAUCUGAUCAUACAAGCUAAGAAAGAAAAAAGACAAACACACAUCAACUAGAUUAUCAAUGUUAUACAAAGAAUGGAGUCACCGGACUAUAUGGAGUAUAAGCAGGUUUUCAAGCAAAUUCAAGAAGGGGAGACUGAUACACACCAACAAGAUAUAAUAUAAGUUCCACUACACGAUAAAUGAAUUUAACAAAGCUAGGUGUUAUUUGUUGGAUAAAUGGCACUCUUUCAGCAACUUUUCAGGUGUAAUUUUCUGGUGGCUGGAUGUUACCCAGACAAGUAUAUAAUUUUUAAUUCUUUCCAGAGGCUGGUACCUUGUCUUUGGACUAGUAAAUAGCAAUUUUUAAAGAGUUGCUGACUAAAUCCAACCAUACCACCACAGUUUACAGAAUCCAAAAAUGUUUCCAAUAAACAUUUAUAUCAAACAAAAAGCUAAACGUGACACUGAGUUCAUUUCUCCAUUGCCAGUCUAAAAUAAAAAACAAGUGAUAGCACUAAACAAUUAUGGUAGUUUAGUCGUCAAUGCAAGUUUUCCAAAUCCUCUCACAACCUGCACGACAUGUUUAACUUUCAUCCAUCUGUAGAACCUUCAAUCACCUCUGGGCUAAGAUGCUAGCAUGACUAGGUAAGAAAGUAAAUGCUGGCCAUGCCAACACAUGAAAUCAGUAAUGAUCUACAUAGUUGAAUAAUAAAAUAUUCUCAGUUUAAAAAGCCUACUUGAUCUAUCCACUCUCCAGUGAUGCAUAUUAGUAUGAAGGCCCAAUUUAGAUACUAUGUUGCUUUGAAGAUAGACAGGCAGAUGAAACUUGCAAAUGCAUUGGGAUGUCAAACUAAAUUUGACAAUUGUGAUUAUGAUAAAUAACAAGAAUGUCAGCAACCUACAAGAGUGUAAGGUAAGUGCCCUUAAACAGUUAAAGCAUUUCAAGACUACCAUGUCAUGAUCAAUUAUAUAAGAAGACUAGUCUGCUGAGAUAUAGUCAUCAAUCAAAACAUCCAAAUCAAUAAUGCCACACUCAUUGAAAUUUUCUCUACAAGCCAAACUAGUGGUACUUCAAAACCAAUGCUUUGGGCACACUGAAAAAAAACAAAUCACCAAACAGAAACCAUAUCUCAAAUAUGGAUGAAGAAAAACACAAGCUGGAGGGUGACAACAUAAACCUCAGUUGUGAGAGGGUGUCACAUCCAAGUCGGUCUCUUAAGGUGUUUUUGUUAUUCUAAAAUCAAUUAUGUUUGACCAUUUUGAGCAAAAGCUUGCUAGCUUAUACACAAUGUUAGUUAUUUGUUCAUAAUAUUGUAUCGUGAUUAAUUUUACCUGGACAAAUACUGUACAAUUCAUAGAAUCUGCAUCAAACAUGUAUUGGUGAAUCGAAUAGCAUCCAAUACUUCGAUGCUUAUCGAGUUCUUCGAUUACAAUUUUUAGACAUUGAUAAGAAAUUGGAGACUUUCAACAAUGAGUUCCAUCAACUAAUAAUAAUAUCAAAAUUGGGCUUUACUUCUCUAAGAUCGGAAAUAGGCAUUAGACCUUGCAAAAUGUCAUGUUCUUUAUAUCUUUGAACUACUUUUGGAGUUUUGGAUGAGAAAUUUGUAUAUUGAAAGCCCUUCACUAUAUAUAGUGUGUGCAUACAUAAACAUAACUACUUUUUCCACGUCCCUGUAACACCUCUUUCUUCCUCUUGUAGAGUCCAAUGUUGUGUUUUGAAUCCAAUUCUUGCUUCAUGUACUCCAUGCAACAUUGACAACAGUAUGCUGCAUUCUACAUAUUAUACAUUAUUAUGGUAUCAUUGUUGAUUAUAGAAUUUUUAUGUUUGCAAAAAGCAACAACAACAUGUCCUUAGUGAGUAGAAAGUAUGUGAUCAAAAGAGACAUGAAACUUCUACUCCUUAAAACAUGAUUUAAGUGAUUGUAUCACAUUAAAUCCACGAUGAGUGCCAUGCUAGCAUGUUAUCAGCUCAGUAACAUUGUAUACAUAUGAAUUAUUGAUGCCAACUUGUAUUGAUGCAUAUCAUAUCAAUUUAAUAGGCACCAGUACAAUGUUUUUCUUUACUUCUUUUUUUUGUUUUAGACUUGUAGCUGACCAUCCUAAACAACCUUAUUUCUAUUCUAGGUUGUCUGAAACUAUUCUCUCCUUCUCUGUCUAUGUUUGUAGCGACCAGACAAGAUUAUAACAGAAAAUUAUCAUUCUAAAUCAGACCAAAGGGUCAGAACCAGAAAUUGUGGCGGACUUUAUAAGCUUCCCACAAAUGUUGUUAUAUGAGCUUCUUGUCUUACCAGCUAGGUGAGUAAGAUAUUUCAACAUGUUGUCGAUAUGUUGCAUGUCACCUAUAUUUUUUAUCUUGAUUUUAGAUUUUUUAUGCUUUUAUUAUGUAAAAAUAAUCAUGUAACAUUAUUUUCUACAGCAAAGUACUCAAAACUAUGCAAUGCAUCACUAGAUUGAUAAUUAGCACGACUACGAAUUAUGGAGUUAGAUUUCUGCAUACUUGUUAUUAACCAAAUUUAUACAAUUGAACCAUGUGUAAACAUUAAAAUGAAGCUUCUGACAAACAGCCUACGUUAUCAAAAAAAUAUUAAAAAAUGAAUAAACAUGCCAAUUGCAAGUCAUUUUACGGUAUCACAUAUUUUCUACGGUAGUGCUUGCUAAAUGUCAGAACAGUAUGAUGACUGUGCCAGCCCUUAAUUGGCACAACAAAAUACAAGAUAAUUUAAUCUCCUACCAAAGUCAAGGCCCCAUCAUAAUUAGAUGUUAAAUGAUGAACUCUAAUUCGGAUGUUGUCAAAGACAUUGUUAAGUAUACCGAUAUGAAGAAAUUGCAGUACAAGAAUAGGAUGAGAAAUCAAUAAAACAAAUGAACAUGAACCUCAUUAAUAUGGAAAUAGGAAUCUUUUUUUCAAAAAGCCAAUGGCACAAGGGAAGGUGUUUAGGAUUGAAAUAGGCAAGUCAAAAACCUCAAAUCAUAAGGUGCAGGCCUUAUUGAUAUUUCUAGAAUGUUUAGACUUCAAGAAAAGCAAUAUGGGAAUAGAUAAGGUCGAAUACAAGGAUGAUAUGAGUGAACUUGCAGUCAAUUUUAGUACAUAAUGUAUCCCAUAUGCCAAACAUACAUAAAGAAUAAUGCCUAGCAUUAUUGUCUUAUCUUAGCGUGCCAAUAUUUCCAACAUGUCUCCACACAACAGCGCAAUGUUAAAAAGUGUAACUAAGAAGAUGUGCACCAUACAUGGACCUCUUAGCUUGAUAACAUUGUUCUUGUAAAGGAUCACCUACGAGCCUCGGCGAUUUUUCAAAGAGACACACCUUAAGGCUCGAUGUGAGAUAAUCCUCAAUUAAGUCUUUUGAAACAAAAGUAGGAACACCGAUCAAGGUAAUUUGAUGACACAAUGUUUGAGCUAUCUUCAGAGGAAUGACAUAGCAUUAUACAUAAAAUUAGCUCUAUUACAAGAAUAGACUUGGAUCUACUCAAAAUGCUGUUCCACUGAAAUGGUUCAAAUAGUUUCUCAUACAAAAGGCAAAACCACCAAAUAAGCUAAAAGAAUAUGUUGCAUUGUAAUCAAAUGAUGCCAAUCAUAGAGGACUCUCAAGCCAGACUUACGAGGUCUUUGGUUGUUAAAAGCAGAAUGUUCAAAUAUGUAAAAAGAUAAGGAGAAUGUAAGAUGCUAAGGGAAGAAAACUCAAUAACUGCGAUGUUUAAAGGGAUUAUAUGAAUCUCACUAUGCAGACACACACCCAGUGUAGAACAUCAUUGCAUGUGAUUCGAAAAACAAUGUAAAAUUACAAAUAUCUCAAUUCGUAGCACAUCCAGAUGCAACUAAUACCCUACCAAGAUAACACUUUAUUCCUUCUUAAAAAUGGAAAACAAAAACCAAGAUUGUAACUUUCCACCCAUAUAUAUAUAUAUAUAUAUAUAUAUAUAUAUAUANNNNNNNNNNNNNNNNNNNNAACAGCUUCAUUGGUUGCUGUCUUAGUCCAUAGUGCAAGCUUGUCCUGCCUCUGGCGCACACUAGCUACAACACCACAGAUUUCCUCACUCUCAUCAAACUGCUCUCCAAUUAAAGCCAUCAACGUGUCUAACCACAUGUUGUCAAGAGUGCCCUUUCUCCCACAUGUUACAGACCACUUGCCCCCAUUUGCACAUUCAGGAUCUUCCCACUUGGGUUCUAUCCCGGUUUUGAAACAAUGGAAAUCAGCAUUUGCUGGCAACUUGCUGGGACGAAAUAUCUGAUCAUACAAGAUAUAUAUAUAUAUAUAUAUAUAUAUAUAUAUCAGACACCAAUACGUUGAAUACAGGAAUCACUGCAUUGUAAGCAAUCGAUACAAAGUAACAAAAAUCAAUAUCGGAAUUCAUAGAUUUGUAAUUAGGUCAAAAAAAUUAAAUAAAACAAAAUUAGCACAAAUUAUAUGAAUUUACAUAAAGAAAAAUCUCGCAGAUAAUAUCAAGUCAAACAAGAAGCAUCGCACUAUAGCAUGACCAAUCGAAUGUACCAAGAAAAGAAAGAAAAAGAUCAUAACAAAUCCUACGAAAAUCACACGCUGUUCCUCUGAAAAUUCAAAAAUUUAAAGAAAAUCUAAAAUCAAGAAGCAUCAUCUAGUGAAAUAACCAAGAUAACUCUUUACUUCUUCUUCUUCUUCUAAUAUCAAAAAAAGGAAAAAAAGAAAAGAUCGAGAAAAUAUCACAUGAAUUUCCCACCAAGAAAUCUGGGACACGGAUCGCAUAGGACUCCCAAGAAGCAUCGCAUCGAGACCAAUCAAGAUCGAAGAACAAAAAAAGGAAACAAAGGAUUCUUGGCAUCAAAAUUUGAAAUUGAGAAGAGAUCUAAAACUAGAGAAAGAGAGAGAAAGACGGAUGGAUUCGAACGAGAGAUAGAGAGACCGACCACCAGAAUUCCUCGACGGUGUCGAAGGUGUAGACCUUUCGGAGGGAGGUUCCCCAGGCGGCGCCCUGCUUGGGUUUGGACUGGUUGUCGAACCAGAACGUCCACUUCCGCUCCAGCCGAUGCGGCACCUUCUGCCCUCCCUCGCCCUCCCCACCGCUCGCUGCCACCACUUCCUCCGCCGCCUCCACUUCCGCCGCCAUCCCUCUUCGAUUCCUCCGCCUCCUCCUCCUCUUCUCUGGAGAGAGCACAAAGAGAAGAAAUCCGG
rnacentral:lncRNA from 1 species